GUCGAGCGGAAACGAAGAGGUGCUUGCACCUCUGGCGUCGAGCGGCGGACGGGUGAGUAAUGCUUGGGAAUAUGCCUUAUGGUGGGGGACAACAGUUGGAAACGACUGCUAAUACCGCAUGAUGUCUACGGACCAAAGUGGGGGACCUUCGGGCCUCACGCCAUAAGAUUAGCCCAAGUGGGAUUAGCUAGUUGGUGAGGUAAUGGCUCACCAAGGCGACGAUCCCUAGCUGGUUUGAGAGGAUGAUCAGCCACACUGGGACUGAGACACGGCCCAGACUCCUACGGGAGGCAGCAGUGGGGAAUAUUGCACAAUGGGCGCAAGCCUGAUGCAGCCAUGCCGCGUGUGUGAAGAAGGCCUUCGGGUUGUAAAGCACUUUCAGUAAGGAGGAAAGGUUAAGUGUUAAUAGCACUUAG
rnacentral:rRNA from 1 species